AUAUGGUAGUCUGUUAGUAUAGUUGAAGGAUUUGGAAAAUUCCGCUAAAGAGGGUGAAAGCCCCGUAGACGAAAUGCUGACAACACCUAGGAGGAUCCUGAGUACGGCGGAACACGAGAAAUUCCGUCGGAAUCCGCGGGGACCAUCCCGCAAGGCUAAAUACUCCCUAGUGACCGAUAGUGAACCAGUACCGUGAGGGAAAGGUGAAAAGCACCCCGGAAGGGGAGUGAAAUAGAUCCUGAAACCGUGUGCCUACAACAAGUCAAAGCUCGUUAAUGAGUGAUGGCGUGCCUUUUGUAGAAUGAACCGGCGAGUUACGAUUGCAUGCGAGGUUAAGUUGAAGAGGCGGAGCCGCAGCGAAAGCGAGUCUGAAUAGGGCGAAUGAGUAUGUAGUCGUAGACCCGAAACCAUGUGAUCUACCCAUGUCCAGGUUGAAGGUGCGGUAAAACGCACUGGAGGACCGAACCCACGUACGUUGAAAAGUGCGGGGAUGAGGUGUGGGUAGCGGAGAAAUUCCAAACGAACUUGGAGAUAGCUGGUUCUCUCCGAAAUAGCUUUAGGGCUAGCCUCGGAAUUGAGAAUGAUGGAGGUAGAGCACUGUUUGGACUAGGGGCCCAUCUCGGGUUACCGAAUUCAGAUAAACUCCGAAUGCCAUUCAUUUAUAUCCGGGAGUCAGACUGCGAGUGAUAAGAUCCGUAGUCGAAAGGGAAACAGCCCAGACCACCAGCUAAGGUCCCAAAAUAUAUGUUAAGUGGAAAAGGAUGUGGGGUUGCACAGACAACUAGGAUGUUGGCUUAGAAGCAGCCACCAUUUAAAGAGUGCGUAAUAGCUCACUAGUCGAGUGACCCUGCGCCGAAAAUGUACCGGGGCUAAACAUAUUACCGAAGCUGUGGACUACACCAUUAGGUGUAGUGGUAGGAGAGCGUUCUAAGGGCGUUGAAGGUCGAUCGUGAGGACGGCUGGAGCGCUUAGAAGUGAGAAUGCCGGUAUGAGUAGCGAAAGACAGGUGAGAAUCCUGUCCACCGUAUG
rnacentral:rRNA from 1 species